rnacentral:rRNA from 1 species
GAUGAACGCUGGCGGCGUGCCUAAUACAUGCAAGUCGAGCGAACAGACGAGGAGCUUGCUCCUCUGACGUUAGCGGCGGACGGGUGAGUAACACGUGGAUAACCUACCUAUAAGACUGGGAUAACUUCGGGAAACCGGAGCUAAUACCGGAUAAUAUAUUGAACCGCAUGGUUCAAUAGUGAAAGACGGUUUUGCUGUCACUUAUAGAUGGAUCCGCACCGCAUUAGCUAGUUGGUAAGGUAACGGCUUACCAAGGCAACGAUGCGUAGCCGACCUGAGAGGGUGAUCGGCCACACUGGAGCUGAGACACGGUCCAGACUCCUACGGGAGGCAGCAGUAGGGAAGCUUCCGCAAUGGGCGAAAGCCUGACGGAGCGACGCCGCGUGAGUGAUGAAGGUCUUCGGAUCGGAAAACUCUGUUAUUAGGGAAGAACAAAUGUGUAAGUAACUAUGCACGUCUUGACGGUACCUAAUCAGAAAGCCCCGGCUAACUACGUG